CAGAUGCACUUUUUGUAUGAUGACAAACUUAUCUGGAUUGGACAAAGUGGUUGUUAUUCGAGUUUCAACCAUCAGAUUUAGGAUAUUUAUUAUCAUUGACAUUUGUUUGUCGUCAUUCAACGUGACCACAACCCGAACGUGAUCGGGUCUUUUAGAGGAGUGAAGAGGACAGUGGAGGCGGCGAGGAAGCCGAGCAUCAGGCCGACCACCACCACGCACGCCAUCACGGAACCAAAGCGCCACCAGCUCAUCACCAGGAGGACGCCGCCCACCACGCCGAUCACCGCCGACACGGCCAGACGGACUGCGACAGAGUGAAAAGGUUUCAUUUCCUACCAAGAGUUUGGCAGCUGUCCAUCUUGGAGUUGAAAGUGCAGGCAUACGUGUGCACCGGGACGUAAGAGGCCGACGUGUUGAGGACGGGGUCUCGAACGACGACGGAGUAGAUGACGCCCUGGCCGGGGAUGGAGUUGAAGAUCGCCAUCCUCACAUCGCUUGACGACAGCGUCAAAAUCUGCGAGGGAGUGAAAGAGAGAGGGAGAAGAAACGGGGGAGAAUAACGCCGAUGCCUGCAACCGGGCCUCCGUCAGCCGAGAACAGGAACAAGGUGAAGGUGGCUUGUCCUGGCAGGAGAGCGGACAGGAUGCCAGUGUCCACCGCAGUCGAGGAGAGACCCGGUACAGGUGUCUGAUGACCGGAAAAACAAACAACACGUCACGGCACAUCACAGCAGGAAGAAUAAGGUCAAGCAGAAAAGUGAAUCCUCCACACCAGCUGCUCCAUCCUGACCGACUGUUGCGGCUUUGCUGCCUUGAUUCUUCUGGUCCAACUUCAAGUGGAGGAAUGUG